AAUAAAGCAGAGUGGUUUCUGUACAGGCCUUGAACUUCAGAAUUGAGGAGAUGCAGGUGAUUGUUCUACAUGGUGUAUGAGGGAAAUCUAGUGGAUGGCAGUUAUAGAAAACAUAUAAUAAUGUGAAGUAACAGUGAAGCAGAGUGGUUUCUGUACAGGCCUUGAACUUCAGAAUUGAGGAGAUGCAGGUGAUUGUUCUGCAUGGUGUAUGAGGGAAAUCUAGUGGAUGGCAGUUAUAGAAAACAUAUAUGUGAAGUAACAGUAAAGCAGAAUGGCUGCAGAACAAUAAGAGCUGCAAGUGGUGUAUUGGGGGAAACAGUGGAUUUUUUUAUUUCAAGGCUAUCACAGAAAACUUCUAUAAUAUGGCGAGCUGUCUUAUACUGUUAGAUAGUGAUGGGUGUACAGGAGUUGAAAAAACUUCAAAAAUUGAUAUAGAUGCAAUAAAGGGCGGAUAUAUGAGUAUAUGUAUUUCAAGAAUAACUGAUGAUGUUAAUCACUUUGACGCAUUUGAAAGGGCCUGGACAAAGACAUCAAGGGUAUCUGUGCUUUCAAUGCACAAAGAACUUGCAAACUGGAAAAUGGAUGGCUUCUUGUCCUGCCUGCCUGUGUUACAGGUAUUUAAGUGUGUGAAAGCAAUCUCUUCAAAGGUGAAAGCAGUACCAAAGCUAUCUGGAAGGAAGUACAUGUGCACAAUCAUUGGAAAGGACAGUCAGAAGGUUUUGAGAUCCAAUGUUGUCUUAACAUAAAAAAGGUGUGUGAAAAAGUAGUAUGACUUCAAGUCCAGUGAAGGGAAUGAAGAAAACAGAUGUGGUGAAGACUGUACGUAGUGUCAGGUCAAAACCCAGUGUCAGGAUAGUGCCAUUGAAGAAUACAAAAACAACUGCAGGCUGACUCAAAUAUGUACAGUCAAAGAGCAGACUGCCAACAAGAAAAUUGGUUUGAAGGGUCGUGUGUUGAAUGUUUUGUACGAAGGUGGUAUGGAGGAAAGGGAAGCUAAUGCCACUCGACAGAGACAGCCUUUAUAUAUGGAACAAAGGAUCAGGAACAGAAUUUGGAACUGCAAGUUACACAGUACAGCAAAAACUUGUGUAGGGACACAAACAAAAUCCAGUAAUUGUCCAUUAAUGUGACAUGGAA
rnacentral:lncRNA from 1 species